UACGUAGGGUGCGAGCGUUGUCCGGAAUUAUUGGGCGUAAAGAGCUCGUAGGCGGUUUGUUGCGUCUAUCGUGAAAACCUGCAGCUUAACUGUGGGCUUGCGGUGGAUACGGGCAGACUUGAGUACUGCAGGGGAGACUGGAUUUCCUGGUGUAGCGGUGAAAUGCGCAGAUAUCAGGAGGAACACCGGUGGCGAAGGCGGUUCUCUGGGCAUUACCUGACGCUGAGGAGCGAAAGUGUGGGGAGCGAACAGG
rnacentral:rRNA from 1 species